UUUGUAAAUCUAAAAACGUGCGUCAGAACAGCAAUUUAACACAUAAACGUACACAAUUAUCGCGAGAUCAAGAAGUUCGAGGGGGUUCUAGGUUAGGCUUCAAGUUAAAGUGUAGUUUUACUUUUCCGACUUUUAGGCCUAUUGUCUUUCCUGCCCAAAUUCACGUUUUCAUAAUAAAGUACAUAAUAUGCUAACAACAAACCCUACAUAAUUAUUUUUUUGCAAUUGUUAUUAGCAAAUAAAAACGACAGAAUGGGAUGUUCCUCGAGUACCCAAACUACAGCGCAGGAUACAACUCGACCAAGCAUUAAACCAGAGGAAAGCAAUGGCGCAAGCAAUACAGGCACAGCCAAUGAGAAUAAAACCGUGGCUGAAGACAGUGAGACCCUUCCGGACCAAACCAAACCUGAGGUCUCUCCACAGGCUGUAGUUGAACCUGCAGCACCACCUGCAGAGGGGAACACCACACCAGCUCUCGCAGCAGUGGAGGGGGCACCAGACACAGCAGCCCUUUCGCCAACGCCUGCCCCUGUAGCGGGGGUCUCAGGUGAGACAGGGCCAUCCACUGAAGCCCCUGCAGCCCCCGUACAGCCAGAAAGCACCCCAGAGGCACCUGCAGCCCCCGUACAGCCAGAAAGCACCCCAGAGGCUGCAGCCCAGGAUUAAGCCUCCAGUGAGUGAAACUCAAUACCAAUUUAUGGAUGAAGAAUUCAACACUGUGUGUGCGUGUUGAACUUUGAGAGGUUGGGAAAUAGAGAGACAGAGAUGACACACCCGACAUGGUACCUGUUGCCAAGAUGCAGACCUUCUGGCCACUCAGACCAGGUACUGUCAGUCCACCACUUGCCUCUAUGUAAAGAGGGGUGGGGGGGAUUCCAAGAGGAAUCAGGCUUCGAAAGUGACAUUUCUGAGUUUUCUUCACUUCCUAGUCUGUUUUUGAAUUGUUGUAAUUGCAAUUUUUCUGCAUUUAGUUGUAAAUAUAAUUUAUUUACUUAAGAGUCAUUUAAAAGCUUGGCAUACAAUAACACAUUCUGGUAUGUAUAUUAUACUGCCUCAUAAGGGUGUGGGACCAAUAAUGAGACUUCUCAUUGUAAUACUUCUAUCAUACAUCCAUCAGUACAUCUCUUUGUGAA